ensembl:snRNA
GUGUUGUAUGAAAGGAAAGAAGGUUAGCACUCUUUAACAAGGAUGGAAGAGGCCCUUGGGCCUGACAACAUCCAUACCGUUAAGGCAUUGCCUCCUACUUCCUGGCAUUUAUCCACUGUUUUCA